GACGAACGCUGGCGGCGUGCUUAACACAUGCAAGUCGAACGGAAAGGCCCUGCUUUUGUGGGGUGCUCGAGUGGCGAACGGGUGAGUAACACGUGAGUAACCUGCCCUUGACUUUGGGAUAACUUCAGGAAACUGGGGCUAAUACCGGAUAGGAGCUCCUGCUGCAUGGUGGGGGUUGGAAAGUUUCGGCGGUUGGGGAUGGACUCGCGGCUUAUCAGCUUGUUGGUGGGGUAGUGGUUUACCAAGGCUUUGACGGGUAGCCGGCCUGAGAGGGUGACCGGCCACAUUGGGACUGAGAUACGGCCCAGACUCCUACGGGAGGCAGCAGUGGGGAAUAUUGCACAAUGGGGGGAAGCCUGGUGCAGCAACGCCGCGUGCGGGGUGACGGCCUUCGGGUUGUGAACCGCUUUCGCCUGUGACGAAGCGUGAGUGACGGUAAUGGGUAGGUAAGCACCGGCUAGCUACGUG
rnacentral:rRNA from 1 species